ACGAACGCUGGCGGCGUGCUUCACCCAUGCAAGUCGAACGGAAAGGCCCUGCUUUUGUGGGGUGCUCGAGUGGCGAACGGGUGAGUAACACGUGAGUAACCUGCCCUUGACUUUGGGAUAACUUCAGGAAACUGGGGCUAAUACCGGAUAGGAGCUCCUGCUGCAUGGUGGGGGUUGGAAAGUUUCGGCGGUUGGGGAUGGACUCGCGGCUUAUCAGCUUGUUGGUGGGGUAGUGGCUCACCAAGGCUUUGACGGGUAGCCGGCCUGAGAGGGUGACCGGCCACAUUGGGACUGAGAUACGGCCCAGACUCCUACGGGAGGCAGCAGUGGGGAAUAUUGCACAAUGGGCGGAAGCCUGAUGCAGCAACGCCGCGUGCGGGAUGACGGCCUUCGGGUUGUAAACCGCUUUCGCCUGUGACGAAGCGUGAGUGACGGUAAUGGGUAAAGAAGCACCGGCUAACUACGUG
rnacentral:rRNA from 1 species